rnacentral:rRNA from 1 species
GUUCCCAUACCGAACACGGAAGUUAAGCUCUUCAGCGCCGAUGGUAGUUGGGGGUUUCCCCCUGUGAGAGUAGGACGUCGCCAAGC